UCCGGUUGAUCCUGCCGGAGGUUACUGCUAUCGAGGUUCGACUAAGCCAUGCGAGUCGAAUGUAGCAAUACAUGGCGUACUGCUCAGUAACACGUGGACAACCUACCCUUGAGACGGGGAUAAACCCGGGAAACUGGGUAUAAUACCCGAUAGAUCUCGACUGCUGGAAUGCAUCGAGCUCCAAAGCUCCGGCGCUCAAGGAUGGGUCUGCGGCCUAUCAGGUAGUAGUGGGUGUAGCGUACCUACUAGCCUACGACGGGUACGGGUUGUGAGAGCAAGAGCCCGGAGAUGGAUUCUGAGACACGAAUCCAGGCCCUACGGGGUGCAGCAGGCGCGAAAACUUUACAAUGCUGGAAACAGCGAUAAGGGGACCUCGAGUGCCAGGUUACAAAUCUGGCUGUCGUGAUGCCUAAAAAGCAUUGCAUAGCAAGGGCCGGGCAAGACCGGUGCCAGCCGCCGCGGUAACACCGGCGGCUCGAGUGGUAACCGUUAUUAUUGGGUCUAAAGGGUCUGUAGCCGGCCGGAUAAGUCUCUUGGGAAACCUGGCAGCUUAACUGUCAGGCUUUCAGGAGAUACUGUCUGGCUCGAGGCCGGGAGAGGUGAGAGGUACUUCAGGGGUAGGGGUGAAAUCUUGUAAUCCUUGAAGGACCACCAGUGGCGAAGGCGUCUCACCAGAACGGACCUGACGGCAAGGGACGAAAGCUAGGGGCACGAACCGGAUUAGAUACCCGGGUAGUCCUAGCCGUAAACGAUACUCGCUAGGUGUCGGCCACGGUGCGACCGUUGUCGGUGCCGUAGGGAAGCCGUGAAGCGAGCCACCUGGGAAGUACGGCCGCAAGGCUGAAACUUAAAGGAAUUGGCGGGGGAGCACCACAACGGGUGGAGCUUGCGGUUUAAUUGGAUUCAACGCCGGAAA
rnacentral:rRNA from 1 species